rnacentral:rRNA from 1 species
UACGUAGGGUGCGAGCGUUAAUCGGAAUUACUGGGCGUUAAGCGUGCGCAGGCGGUUUUGUAAGCCAGAUGUGAAAUCCCCGGGCUCAACCUGGGAAUGGCAUUUGGGACUGCAAGGCUGGAGUGCGGCAGAGGAGACUGGAAUUCCUGGUGUAGCAGUGAAAUGCGUAGAUAUCAGGAGGAAUACCGAUGGCGAAGGCAGGUCUCUGGGCUGACACUGACGCUCAUGCACGAAAGCGUGGGGAGCAAACAGG